CCCAGCUCAUUUUAUUUAUUUUUUUGUAUUUUUAGUGGAGAUGGGGUUUCACCAUAUCAGCCAGGAUGGUCUCGAUCUCCUGACCUCAUGAUCCGCCCGCCUCGGCCUCCCAAAGAGCUGGGAUUACAGGCGUGAGCCACUGCGCCCAGCCGAAAAAAUGUUUUUUAAGAAUAAGGGAUUCUACUUGGAAAGGCGUGAGGGGCCUAGUUUUCAAUGUCCUUGCGCUCUGAAGUGUAGAGGUUGGAAAAUAACUCAACUCCACCGUCGUCACUGACUGUAAGGGCCCAGCUCUGAUUGGAGAGGAAGAAGCAGUUUCUCCAACUUUUCGUGCAGAAGCUCCUCCUGGAAUGUUUGUGAAAAUUGCCAAUUUCCUGUCCCUGCAUACUGAUUGGGAAGGUCUGAAUGAGGUCUACGGAUAUGCAAUUUUAGCAACCACCACACAUCUUUCUGAUGCAAAGGGCUCCCAGAAACACACCUUGAGAAACACUGGGAUAUGGUUUAUUUUAUUUUAUUUUAUUUUAUUUUAUUGCCUGUAGCUUUAUAUUAUCUCAGACAUUGUUGUGGAAUCAGAAGUACUUUAAAACUUCCACAUGGGUCUGUGCUCUUCUGUUACUGUAUCUAAACUUGGUGGAGGGAGCUUUCAUCCUUCUACUGAAAAUUUCUGAAAAUGCUCUCUACAGCACAGCAUUCAGAUAAUCUAAUUGUGGUGUUCUUAACCCCAGGUGAAUAUUAUAAUCUCCUGUGGUGCUUUAAAAAAACAGAAAGCCCAGGCUCCACCCAAGAGCAGAGUCAGAUGGGAAUCUCUGAGGUGUGACACAGCCAGCAGUAUUUUUAAAGGUCCCCAGGGAAGAAAAAAUUGCAGUGAAUGUAUGACUCUAGUUCUUAAGUGUUCACAGACUCUUCACCAGGAGCAGAUUUCAUCUCAAGAAAUGACUUUCUUUGCUCAUCCAUAAGAAGCAACUCAUCUGUUCAAGUUUUACCAGACACAAGAACACCAGAUUGAGACCAGCCUGGCCAACAUGUGAAACCUCCUCUCUACUAAAAAUACAAAAAUUAGCCAGGCAUGGUGGCAGGCACCUGUAAUCCCAGCUACUUGGGAGGCUGAGUCAGGAGAAUCGCGUGAACCCAGGAGGUGGAGGUGGAGGCUGCAGCGAGCUGAGAUCAUGUCACUGCACUCCAGACCGGGUGACAGAGCAAGACUCUGUCUCAAAAAAAAAAAGAAAAAAAAAAAAAAAAAAGAACACCAGAACUGGAAGAGAUCUCAACUUCACUCAACCCAGAGUCUAUUUUACAAACAAGAAAGUUACAUCUCUACUUUUUGCUUUUCUGCCCUUCUACCCAUUACACUGAUUGUUUCGAUCACUUGUUCUGACAGAUUUGGUAUUAAGUGAAUCAAUUUUAUUCCUCAAAGUGGUAGAAUCUGUGCCCAAUUAUUGGGAGAGACAAACUUUGCAGAGCAUAUUCCCUUUGUUCAGGUAAGUGGUGACAGGUUGAGUCAGCUCCAGGCUCAGAACUCACAUCUGCUGAGUUCCACUUAGGUUUUGUGGUAGCAAGAACACAAUUAUCUAGUCAAUUGCUCUGGAGGGAACAUCAUCUUGAAAACAUGACCAAAUUCACACCACUGUAAUUAAUCAGACAACUGCUCUAGUGUGAUCGUGGUUACCACUCCAUAGAAUUGGAAUUGUCUUUUUAAACCCGAGGAGACACUGCUCACUUUAAGGUUGAACUUUAUAGAAGCUGGUCCCACAUUUGGAUGCUAAUUAGCAAAAUAAUACCCACAAUGCAACCUGAUUAAACGUUUCACCCAUGGGUGGAAACGCAUUAAGUAAACAAUGCUGUAAAUAAAAUAAGAUUGUGUCAACAGAAUAUAUUUGUGUCAGUAUGAAAAAAUACUUAAAAUCCCUUAAAAAUAGCUCUUCAUAUUUUAAUGUCCUAGAAUUGUUAACUUUUAAAGAUGAAGAUUUUGGGGGAUUAUCAAGAUAGGACUAUAGAAAGAAUUUAUUUAAAAGAGCAAAAGGCAGUGUUGCACUGUGCAUUAAUUGCAUGUAAAGAUACACCAGGAACUUAGAAGGGUCUGGUUCCAAUUUGCAAAUGCUAGUACAGUACAUGUUUUCAUCCCUAAUCAUAUUACAUCAUCUUUGUGUGUUUGAGGGCACAGAUAAGACUUAUUCAAACUUCUAGUUGACAUGCAUUUUGCUUUUGAAAACCAAAGGUUCUCAUUUUCUAUUAGCUUUUGUGCUACUAGUUUCACAGCAUUUGAAGAUUCCUGAAUUUCUGUGCAUAUUGGUUUUUCCACUUAUCAAUAUUCAUAUACAGAAGCAAUUAUUACUGUGAAUCACCAUGAUAAUAAACCCGAUUUUACAGCACCAAAGUAAAGAGAAAUCUGUAUUUAAUCUCCAUUUGUCUGUACUGGAAUGAAGUAUUCUUAAAUCUGAGAAAGUCAAUUAUUAUUCAAAGAACAAUCACAGCAUAGUUAAAAAAUGAGAAAUCCAGGACAGCAGAAGGUGUAAAGAAGGCAUUUAUCAGACACCAAGGGAAAAGGGAAAGACGGUUGAUAGCUGAGGUGUCCAGUUAAAACUCAACUAGCAACACAAAUCUCUGGUAGGUAUCACUGAUAAAGGUCAAGGGGAACAGAGUUAUGACAGUGAACUUUAAAAAUACUGACAGGAAACAAGAGUACUGGUUUCCACGUGUGUUGCCUUGCUAUUCACAUAAAACCAUUAGUCCUUUCACAGAAGGGUUUAUUGAUUUACACAGAUACUCGUUUGUCACAUCCUGUAGAGUACAUUAAAAGCUGCCCAGGUAUUUCAAAUGUACUUAGCAAAUUUGCCUUCUCACUUGUGUGCAGUCUGGAAUCUUGGCUGUAAGAUAGUUUUCAGCAUAAAAGGCUUGAUUGAAGAGAAAGUCAGCAACUUAACAAAAGAAUCGCCGUGAGGCCUCUUUGUGAUGUCUUACCAAGAAGCUGCUCUCAUGGCUGGUGGACAUUGAUGGGGAAUUCAUCAUGUGAAGGGGACUUAACACAUUAGAUGCACAGGGAUUCACAAAGGAUGAACAACACAGUUUUCCUCUUGCUCAUCCCCAUAAUAUUACUGACUUCCUAUGUAGUUUGUCACUUCCGCCAGAUGUGACUGCCACAUGCCCAGUCCUGUGUCAUGUAGGAGGCAGUGCAGAGUAACUGAUAGGAGAGGUGGCUUUGGCAUCCACUUAUGUAGGUGUGAAUUCUGAUUCCACAGCUUAUCGACACCCUCACCCUGGGUCACUUGCCUCUUUACCAUUCAGUUUCCCAAUCUAUAAAAUGAGAGUAAAAACAGUACCUGGAUCACAGGUUGUUGUGAGGGUCACAUGGGAUAAUGCAUGGAGAGCACUGAAGAAGAUGCCUAGUCUAAAGUGAUGCCACCUUGUAGAGCU
rnacentral:lncRNA from 10 species